rnacentral:rRNA from 1 species
GAUCGUAAAGCUCUGUGGGAAGGGACGAAAAAGCGUGACCUAAUACGUCUCGCCUUGACGGUACCUUCUUAGCAAGCACCGGCUAACUCCGUGCCAGCAGCCGCGGUAAUACGGAGGGUGCAAACGUUGCUCGGAAUUAUUGGGCGUAAAGCGCAUGUAGGCGGUCCGCUAAGUCGGAUGUGAAAGCCCUCGGCUUAACCGAGGAAGUGCAUCCGAAACUGGCGGGCUAGAGUACGGAAGAGGGUUUCGGAAUUCCCGGUGUAGAGGUGAAAUUCGUAGAUAUCGGGAGGAACACCAGUGGCGAAGGCGGAAACCUGGGCCGAUACUGACGCUGAGAUGCGAAAGCGUGGGGAGCAAACAGGAUUAGAUACCCUGGUAGUCCACGCCGUAAACGAUGAGCGCUAGGUGUUGGGGGUAUUGACCCCCCCAGUACCGCAGCUAACGCGUUAAGCGCUCCGCCUGGGGAGUACGGCCGCAAGGCUAAAACUCAAAGGAAUUGACGGGGG